rnacentral:lncRNA from 1 species
ACCUCCACUUAGACUUUGACCUAUGACCGUAUCAAGCAUUGUCACCCCAAAAUCUGACUUCCAUAGGAUGGGUUUCUGAGGUAAUGGUGCUAUGUUGGCAUGACAUAUGAAAUGUAUGGGUUCUUAAUCGCGUUAUCGCAUCCUCGGCCCGUCAAAUCUGUCUAUAAACUUUCACGGUUUCACUCCUAAAACCCUAACCUUAAUUCCUAUGAAAAAAAUCUAACCCUAACC